UGUUCCACCGUAUACCCGCCCCGGCGAGGCCGCCUCAGCAAGCCCGGGUUCUCACGGCAGUCGGUCAUCAAGAUGAGCUUCCAGCAGGAGCAGGCGGUGUUCUCCACGCCGACCCCACCGUCGCCGUCCGGGGAUGCACGGACUAGCAGGGAGGAUGGCGACGCGCAGCAGCAGCAGCAGCAGGAGCUGGUGUUCGACCACGCGGCGUAGUUCUUCACCGCGAGCGACGAGAGGUUCUAGAGGCUGGUCGACGAGUGGAUUGGCAAGGGCUUGGUCCGUGAGUGGAGAGGCUUGAUCGGUCAGCUCAACAUCGGUGGCCAUUUUAGGCCUAUACCUACCUCGACGCCGCAGUGCAUCGGCGUGAACGGGACGGAAUGCGCGCUUGCAGAUGCGAUUCUGCCUGAGGAGCAAAGAUAAUUGAAGUUAUAUUUGAAUUUUGAAGUAAAGAUCUGUUUUUCUGAAGGAUUUGCAAUGGUACUCCUUGUUUCAACAUUCAGCCAUGUUGUAUUUGAGUUCAAUCAGCAUUUUAUUUCACAAGGUUGCUGCACCGACAAAACUGAACUACGACAUGUUUGAGCAAAUAACUUACUUGAGCAGUUUUACCUUGCUCCAUCUUACCUCUUAUGAGGUAAGAGCUCUCGUUAACCUUGACCAUUCAAUUUUGCCCUUUUAUUUUAAUCAACAUAAAAUAUAUAACACCUUAUUAAUUUAGCAUGCCCAAAUAAGUAAAGUACUAUUACAAUAAUCACCAUUCCUUGCUAAUCGGGCAUGCAUGCUUCCUGUGAAAAUAAUAAUAACGCCGAGCACAUUAAUUUCAUAUAAAAAUAUUAGAAAAAAUAUUGGUAGUAGACCAACACGU